GGGAUCAAAAAUGGCUUGAUAUCUAUAUAAGCCCAAAGAGUACUCUGAGGCUUCAAAAAAUCUAUAGGUCUGAUAGGUACCAAGAUCUGAGGACACCCAGACCAAUGCCUUAUCUCGUCUUGCCACCUCAGGAUGCCUCGGCCUCAAUAAGCAGGUCUUCACCAAACACCUGCAAGAGCAUGAUGUCUUAAUGACUGAUCAUACUGAGGCUCAGAUGAUCAAAUGCUGAGCCCUUAAGCAUGUCCACUUCUGAAGCCAUGGAGAUGAUAAGGGGCUAAUCC
rnacentral:lncRNA from 1 species